GACGAACGCUGGCGGCGUGCUUAACACAUGCAAGUCGAACGGAAAGGCCCUGCUUUUGUGGGGUGCUCGAGUGGCGAACGGGUGAGUAACACGUGAGUAACCUGCCCUUGACUUUGGGAUAACUUCAGGAAACUGGGGCUAAUACCGGAUAGGAGCUCCUGCUGCAUGGUGGGGGUUGGAAAGUUUCGGCGGUUGGGGAUGGACUCGCGGCUUAUCAGCUUGUUGGUGGGGUAGUGGAUUACCAAGGCUUUGACGGGUAGCCGGCCUGAGAGGGUGACCGGCCACAUUGGGACUGAGAUACGGCCCAGACUCCUACGGGAGGCAGCAGUGGGGAAUAUUGCACAAUGGGCGGAAGCCUGAUGCAGCAACGCCGCGUGCGGGAUGAGGGCCUUCGGGUUGUAUACCGCUUUCGCCUGUGACGAAGCGUGAGUGACGGUAAUGGGUAAAGAAGCACCGGCUAACUACGUG
rnacentral:rRNA from 1 species